CUUCACUCGGAGAAGAGAGAUUUUGUCCUCUCCUAUCUUGCAAAAACAAAGUUCCACCUCUGCCAUCAUAUGUGAAAAGGUCAUAACUUUCAUCAUCGGCAACCAAAGGUCUCUGAGGAGAAAGUGAGAGUUCGGCAGAAGGCUGAUUAUAAACUAAGUCAUUAAGAAUAACAGCAUCUACAGCAUGAGCAGAACUUCCAAGGUCAUCGUUUGUCAGCAUACUUCGAACAUUUGGCACAAAGAACUCAACAAUAGCAAGCAGAAAAUCAAGUGCAACUAGCAGUUGUGGCCUUUGAAUGAAGAGAGAAAAAGAUGUCAAAUUUUCAUAGAAUUUUGCAUCAAGAAUAACCAUUGCAGGUACAAGUUUCAUGUCCUUGUCACUACUUGUAUUGAAGGCCAUGCCAGCAUAUAGCAGAAGGCUGAUUAUAAACUGAGUCAUUAAGAAUAACAGCAUCUACAGCAUUAGUAGAACUUCCAUGGUCAUCGUUUGCCAGCAUAUUUCGAACAUUUGGUACAAAGAACUCAACAACAGCAAGCAGAAAAUCAAGUGCAACUAG
rnacentral:lncRNA from 1 species